GUUAUAGGGUCAAGUGACUAAGAGCAUGUGGUGGAUGCCUUGGCGAUGAUAGGCGACGAAAGACGUGAUAGCCUGCGAUAAGCUUCGGGGAGUUGGCAAAUAAACUUUGAUCCGGAGAUUUCUGAAUGGGGGAACCCACCUAGCAAUAGGUAUCGGCAACUGAAUACAUAGGUUGUCGAAGCGAACCUGGAGAACUGAAACAUCUAAGUACCCAGAGGAAAAGACAUCAACUGAGAUUCCGAUAGUAGUGGCGAGCGAAUUCGGAAGAGCCGUCUAGAGAUAGUCAUUGUGUUAACAAAACGGAAUGGAAAGUCCGGCCAUAGUGGGUGAUAGCCCCGUAUGUGAAAACGCAGUGGUGGUACUAAGCUAGAGACAAGUAGGGCGGGGCACGAGAAACCCUGUCUGAAUAUGGGGGGACCAUCCUCCAAGGCUAAAUACUCAUCAUCGACCGAU
rnacentral:rRNA from 1 species